AAGGGAGGCAGUUUCGGGGCCGGGGCUGGGAGCUCCGGCUGGACUGCGGGCGCCGCGCGCCACCUGCGUUCCCGGAGGGGAGCGGGGACUGGGGUGUCGCAGCCGGGGGUUACUGAGGCGGGCGCUGGCGACCUCGGGGCCAGGGAGAGCCUUCUGGCUGGAAGGCAGGGAGGGUCUGGCAUGCCGGGAAAUACCGAGCAGAUGCGAUCGCCGUGUGCGCUAGCCACGUGCCGGCAGCCCAAGGUGGAGGCCAAGUACCUGGCCCAGAUCAUUGUGAUGGGCGUGCAGGUGGUGGGCAGGGCCUUUGCCCGGGCCCUGCAGCAGGAGUUUGCAGCCAGCCGGGCAGCAGCUGACGCCCGGGGGCGCGCGGGACACCAGUCUGCGGCCGCCUCCAACCUCUCCGGCCUCAGCCUCCAGGAGGCACAGCAGAUUCUCAACGUCUCUAAGCUGAGCCCUGAGGAGAUCCAGAAGAACUACGAACACCUAUUCAAGGUGAACGAUAAAUCCGUGGGUGGCUCCUUCUACCUGCAGUCAAAGGUGGUGCGAGCGAAGGAGCGCCUUGAGGAGGAACUCAGAAUCCAGGCCCAGGAGGACAGAGAGCGAGAGCAGCCGCCCAAAACGUGACCGCUCGGUGCCUCACACCCCACCCGCCCACCUCUAAUUUAUAGCUCGAGCUGCCUGGAGCUCUCUCCACGGAGCAGGACGGGGACCCCACAUCCUCACUCAUCUUCUCCAGACCAAGCCCCUCAGCAACUUGGAGCUUGCCCCAGCUCCAAGCCCGGGCUCAUCCGUCUCCCCAGCAAGCUCCACUUCUGCCAAGACCCUCCACACACAGGUGGGAGCUGGCAGAUCUGUUUGGAUUAACCCGCAGGCCAUGCAUGGGCCAGGGGCUUCCAGUGAUGCCAGAGAGCUGGGACCAGACUGCCACGCUGUCCCCUUAGGAGCUCCAGACCCAGAUGCGGAAACUGAGGCUCAAGGUCACCAGGCAAAUGGGAGCCGCCGGCAGGAAUCUGCUCUGGAGAAAGCCCCUCGUCCCUGCUUGGGAGAGGGCCGCUGGCUGGACCUGAGCCGGGAAAGGGGCCUGUGUGGACGGAGGCGGCAGGCUUGGCACGACCCCUGAGAAGCGCUCAGGGUCUCUUGGCAGAAACAGAGGACUGGGCCCCUGUAAGAGAGGCCUCCCUACCCACCCCACAGCAGCGUGGGACCAGGUGAGCGAGCGCCAGGGUAGCAGUGUUGUCAGGGCAACGAGAGGCACACCCUUUAUUCCCAGGGGUUGUCCUGAAACUGCCCUUUGAGCAGCUGUGACCCAUCCAGCCUAGGACUUGGGGACCAGGACCCAGGAGGUACCUCUCAAAAGCCCACGUGACUUUCUUGCUAUGGAAUGGAAAGCAGAAGCGAGUCCCUGGCUUCCCUGCAUUUGGAAGGGUGCCCCUGCAUCUGGUACAGGGACCAUCAUUGUCAGCACGUGGGUCUUACAGAGGGGGAAGCUGAGGGCUGGGAGGGGAGACCUCUGGCCCAGGUUUCAUGAGUGGGUGGCACGCCCACUGUUUAAGGCAGGUGUUGUUUCAUCCCCAUUUACAGAUGUGAAAACUGAAGCUCAGGGAGAUUAAGUGAUCUGUCCAGGGUCACACAGCUUGUCUGUGGCAGAACUGGGUUUCAAGCCCACGUGAGCCCAGAAGCUGUGUUCACCAUUAGCCUCUCCUGGGCCCAUGGACGUGGGAAGGGGCAGGCAAAGGGGGUCUGGCUUCCCACCCCCUCCCUGCCCAGGGGUUUGUGGGAGCUAGGUGCAGAGCCCAGGAGGGACAGCAGGCUGUGAGUGGGUGCUGGAGGGGCUGACUAUUGGGGGGGGCCCACAGAGAGGCUUGGGGAGCUGAGGGCAGAUAUGCUACCAAAGCAAACGGCCCCACAGCCCUGCAUUCCUGGGAACUGCUGCGGCGCCCUGCUCUGGCCAAGAGCUCCACCCUCUUCAGCCGCACAGUGGCGGGGGCCGGGGGGCAGGGGCAGGCCUCAUCUUCUCAGGGCCCCCCUUUCUGACCAGGCCACAGAGCAGGGCUCCAGUAUGCGUCAGACCACCUGGGUCUCCAACUUGGCUCUGCCACUUCCGGCCCAUUUGACUUAGGGCAAGUCACCUCCCAGUCUGAGCCUCAUUGUUGUCAUGUCUAAAACAGGACGAUAAUCAUAGAAUAAGACAUACCCCUCGGGCUUCCCUGGUGGCACAGUGGUUAAGAAUCCACCUGCCAAUGCAGGGGACACAGGUUUGAGCCCUGGUCCGGGAAGAUCCCACAUGCCGCAGAGCAACUAAGCCUGUGCGCCACAGCUACUGAGCCUGCGCUCUAAGGCCUGCGAGCCACAGCUACUGAAGCCCACAUGCCUAGAGCCUGUGCUCCGCAACGAGAAGCCACCGCAGUGAGAAGCCCUAGCACUGCAACAAAGAGUAGCCCCCACUCACCGCAACUAGAGAAAGCCUGCGCCCAGCAACAAAGACCCAACUCAGCCAUAAAUAAAUAAAUAAAUUUAAAGACAUACCCCUCAUUGGAUUUUGGGGAGAAAUCAAUAAAAUGCUGCAUAUCCGA